CCGCCACCGCCACCGCCACCGCCACCGCCACCACCACCACCAGCUGGACUCCAGGAAGCACCACAAUUAUUCAGCUUUGCUGAGGUGAGCAGGCCUCACAGGGCAGGUGCCCUCAGGGCAAGACAUUAGGCCUUUGAGAGGAUGGGGACGAGGGCAUCGGAUGGGGAAAGAGCAGAGUUGUGAAGACCCAGGCUUUGGAAAAGAUCCCAAAAGGCUUUGAGUGACCAGCUGGACCCCUGGGGCCUCGUGGUGGCCAGGGGAGAGGCUCCGGUGCACACAGGGCAGGCUGAGGCGCUACAGGAGGCUGCUGGAGGCUCACAGGCGGCCCCUGGCCGCGGGACAUGCUACUCCAGGAAGUGCCAGUGCUCUGUCCCACAGGCACUACCCCUGCCAAGACCGUGUCAGGCUGCCCUUCUGGAAACGGGCCUGGACGUGUGCUGAGCUGCCCGCCUUCCCCCGGAGACCGGUGCUUCCUUUGUAAAGCUACCUUUGUGCCAGGGUUGCUUUCAGAGGGUUUGGGAGCCAGAGGGAGCCUUGCCUUGGUCUCGGCAGGAGCACCAGGUAACAGCGCUGCCACCAGGGUGGCUGCAGCAGUGAGCCAGUCACCUGACGUCUGGCAGGGAACCAAGGUGUGAGGGAAGAGAGGCCCUUCACUACCCAGCAAAGUGGGCAAUGGAUUCUGGGCCACAGGGGCUGCAGGAGCAGACGAGUGGGCACAGCUGUGGGUGGCUGUUGGCUGGACAUGGGUGGCCCUUGGCUGGACAUGGGCAGCCUGCCCAGAGCCCAGAGGUGCCGUGCUGUGCUGGGGAGCAGCUGCGCCUGGACAGGAAAACCGGAGCAGUUGGCAUAAGCUCAGUGAGCAGGAGGCUCAGGCCCUACACAAAAGGGAUUCGUGGGAGGGAGGGGCUGGGUGCGGGAGGGCCUGAGGGCAGGGGGCAGGGGGCAGGGGCAGGGGCUAGGAGAGGCCCGUGCCCAGGAGCAAGCCGGAUGCAGCUGGGACACCGCCGGUUUGGUCAGCGGUGACCUUGGACCAGGUACGAGCCUGCCUGGUCCUGGACCAGGCAGGACACGGGAACUGUUCUGGGGGCAGGUGCCUUGAGUCUGAAGUGGGGACCCUGGAGAAGCAGCUGGACACAGGGGUCUGAAGCUUCGGAGAGACAGACCAGGACAUGUGAGGGGCGUCUGGGACCUGGGGGGGUAGGGAACCCAGGCAAGCCCAAUCUCAUAGAAGCCAAAACAUAGGUGUCCCAGGCAGGUGGCCACUAGCAGAAGUGGCACUGCUGUGUGGCCAAAGGGGCUGGUGGCCUCCUGGCUUGGGGAGGGAGGGAGGCGGAACAGAUUUCCCAGGACCAUAAAGGAAAUUUGAGAAGGAAGGCGGGUCCCUCCUGUGGCUUCCUGGGAGUGGCCCCACCUAAGGUGGACCCCGGUGACAAAGGGUGGGGCGGCAAUUCCUGAGGAGGGUGGAUCCGCAUCCCUUGGGAGGGGGUGCCAUCUGCCCUAAAGGGCAGGCCCCCAACUCCAUCUGGGCUGGGAGCAGGGCGGGGGUUGUCUGGUUGUCCACCUGAGCCAGAUAAGAACAGAGCCAGAUGGCCAGGCUGCCUCAGGCCCACACAGGGAGGCAGUGACCAUGGCCCUUGCUCCACCUUGGGGCAGCAUCAGAAAGAUUCCGCCCGCCUGCUCUGCGGGCAAAGGUUGGUAACCUGAGAGAAACUUGGGGUGAUGGGCAGGUAAGAGAGAAAGCCGACCCACGAAGGGUGGGGCCUGGCGGGCAGAGCCCCUCCCACCUCCACCUCCCAAGGGUCUGGAGUUGGUCCCUGUGCCCCACCCCCCUCAGCGGGCAACUCCCUCGGCGGGUGAGCGCCGGCCUCCGUCGCCCGACGCGAGGCGGCCAGGAGCGGACCCACUUUCUCAGUUUGUCAGCCUAAUUGCCUUGCGCCCCAGGUGCUCUGGCUCGCAGCUGCUGCACAUGUCCCCUCCUCCUUCCCGCUCUGCAGGGCAGGGGGCGGGCAGGCAGGGAGAAGUCGGACCUGGAGGGCCCCACCCAGGACGGCGCACCAGUCCAGCCGGAAAACCGCUGGGCAAGCGAGACCCCACCUCCGUGAGCCACCUCGCCCGCGCCCCUGCGGGGAGCCACUUUUCCCACCUGUGUCCCAAGCCUGGGGGUGGCUGCCAGCACCCUCGCUCACCGGCGCUAGUAGGCAGGGAGCCGAGCCGCAGCAGCCGCGCUCAGCCCGGGCCUCAGCCUGCCUGGGCCCAGAACCCCCGGCCACCUCCGGGCGCCUUGCGCCCCCACCCCAGCCUCCGCAGGCCCCGGGCCGAGCGCCGGCGCAGGAGUUUCAGAUUUGCUCUGGGGCCGCCCCCUCAAGGCCGCGGCCUGGGUGUCCCACCUGCCUGGACUGAGCCCCCAUCGUUCCGAACGCAGUUCCUCGCUUCGCUCUUCCGCCUGCGCCCGGCGCCUCCUGGUUUAAACCCACUCAGGCCCCUCCCCUCGGCUGCCCCUCCCCUCGGCGGCCACGCCCUGAUCUGGGGGCGGUGGGCGGCAAGUGGGGCUGUGAACCCGCAGGGGUGCCCUGGAACCGGGCGGGGCGGGCAGGUACCGGGAAUCCCACUCGGGCCUGGCCAGCGCCCCAGGCGCACGCCCCUCGGCUGGCUGGGGGUCUGCGAUCACCCCCAGGGCCGGAGGUGGCUGCUGCGGAGGAGCAGGGUCCUCUCAGUUCUACCCCUGCCCCUUUCGACCCCUCCCCUAGAGUCACCGCGAAGGAACGCAGGCGGUCGGGUGCGUCCUGCCCGCCCUGACGGCCUUUGAAUGGAGUUUGCAAGGGAAAUGGGGACCUGCCAGCGGUGGUUUCGUUUUCCAAAAGCUCCCACGGGAAAACCUGUCAUCAGAGGAGCCAUGUCAACUGCCUGCCUCCGAGAGGGCCAGUGCCUCUGCCCUCCUCCUGGGUGCCUGCCACAUCCUGAACCCUCCAACCCCUCCAACUAGUGCCUGAGGCUGGUCCCUCCAGAAGCAAAGGAGGCGUGGCACACACUAGCCCAGCCAGCACGGCAGGAAGGCUCUGCCAUGACCUGGCCUCAGGGCAGGUCAGUGGGGGAACACAGCCUCUGCUCAGCUGGCACCAUUGUGCUGGGCACUCAGGGCUGGGGGAAGGAAACGCCUAAAGAGCCAGCAGGGGGCUCCCUAUUCUGGGUUGAAUUGUGUCCCCCUGAAUUCAUGUAUUAAAGUCCUAACCCCCAAACUCCUCAGAAGGUGACCUUAUUUGGAAAUACAGUCACUGCAGACAGAAUUGGUUAAGGCAAGGCGCAUGACAGUAGGAUGGGCUCUGAUCAGUGUCCUUGCAGAAAGGAGAGAUUAGGACACAGACAGACAGAGAAAGCUGAUGUGAAGGGACAGGAAGAAGGCGCGCUGGAGUCUGCAGCAGAGAGCCUGGGCAGAUUCUCACUCCUCGCCCUCAACAGGAGCCCUCCCUGCCCUGCGGAGCCUCGCCCCAGCGCCUCCAGCCUCCACAGCCGCCUGGCCUGCCUGUGGGGCUCCUUCAGGAGCCGCACGCAUAGCAGUCCCGAAUCCGAGAGCUAAACCUGGCAGGGGAGCUGGACUUCAGGGCAGGAGGAAAACCCUGAACCUGCCCCGUGCAAGCCCCAGCUUCUCCCAGGUUAUGGGAGGAGGAGGAAGGGGAGGAAGGCAGAGCCUUGGCUCCCAGGCUGGGUCAGGAGGUGGCAGUAAACCAGAAGAGAUGCCCAAUCUCUACCUGAGAACUAAACUUCUUUAUAUUUUGCUCUAAACAGGUAUUUUCUUCCCAGUAACUCCUAAGCAGGAAUCAUGAGCAGCACUAUGGUCCUAGCUGGGAGCGCCCCUUGACAGAGGAGGACUCCAGGACCAGCUGUCCCCCAUCCUCCCAGUCUCCUGAGGCACCUGCAAAGCUUGGGCCCAGCUGCCCUCAGGUUGCAGCCCCUCCUCACUGGCCGCCAGCUCCACCGGACCCCGUAUAGCCUUCAGCCUAGUGUCCUGCUUCUGAGCCUCUGACCAGCACCCUCCCAGAAGCUCCACCUCUUUCCGGAACACAGCUGAGGAGAGACAGGAGCACCCUGAGACCACAGCUUGGUCACAGCACCCUGCCCCCACCCCACCCAGCCCUGGCUG